rnacentral:rRNA from 1 species
AGAACGAACGCUGGCGGCAUGCCUAAUACAUGCAAGUCGAACGAAGGCUUCGGCCUUAGUGGCGCACGGGUGCGUAACGCGUGGGAAUCUGCCCCUUGGUUCGGAAUAACAGUUGGAAACGACUGCUAAUACCGGAUGAUGACGAAAGUCCAAAGAUUUAUCGCCAAGGGAUGAGCCCGCGUAGGAUUAGCUAGUUGGUGAGGUAAAGGCUCACCAAGGCGACGAUCCUUAGCUGGUCUGAGAGGAUGAUCAGCCACACUGGGACUGAGACACGGCCCAGACUCCUACGGGAGGCAGCAGUAGGGAAUAUUGGACAAUGGGCGAAAGCCUGAUCCAGCAAUGCCGCGUGAGUGAUGAAGGCCUUAGGGUUGUAAAG